UGAGGAAUAUUGGUCAAUGGGCGCAAGCCUGAACCAGCCAUCCCGCGUGCAGGAAGACGGCCCUAUGGGUUGUAAACUGCUUUUCCAGGGGGAGAAUUUUUCUGUCGUGACAGGAAUUGACGGUACCCUGGGAUUAAGCAUCGGCUAACUCCGUGCCAGCAGCCGCGGUAAUACGGAGGAUUCUAGCUUUAUCCGGUUUUAUUGGGUUUAAAGGGUGCGUAGGCGGAUUGAUAAGUCAGUAGUGAAAACCUGCAGCUUAACUGUAGACUUGCCGUUGAUACUGUCAGACAUGAGUGUGGUCAAGUUAGGCGGAAUGUGUAAUGUAGCGGUGAAAUGCUUAGAUAUUACACAGAACACCGAUUGCGAAGGCAGCUUACUGGGCCAUUACUGACGCUGAUGCACGAAAGCGUGGGGAUCGAACAG
rnacentral:rRNA from 1 species